UUUCCCCCGUGGAGCUCGCCUUCAGGUCCGGAGCUGUAGCUGCAGUCACCUGGCAGUCCGCUUCCUUCUCUAGGCUUGCUGAGCCUCUCGAGCAUCCUCCUAACUGCUUUGGCCCUAACUUCCUUUAAUGAGUUGCAUUUCAUCAUCACGUGCUGUUGUCAUAGGGCUUCCUUUCCCUUGGCCUCAUUGGCCUCUGGCUCGUCUUGUGCUAGGACUCUCGGGUCCCUAAAGGGAAAGUGCCAAGCAGUUGCAACUUGUCUCUGUGUUAUGUCAUCUGUGUCUAUGUUAUGGUGUGUGUGUCCAUUGUCUUCCACGGCAUAGGCCUUUGUUACAUCUCAAUGCUUUAUCGGCUCUCUUCUGUGCCAUGUUCUACUCACAUUCCUUGCCGGAUAUCCCUUAUUCCAGCAUCUUUACAUUUUUACUCUUUGAGACAGGAAUGUCUCACAGGGACAAGAUGUUCUCAUCCAUCUUCCUUCUCACUAUCAGCUUUGGUAGUGCUUUUUUUUCCAUUUUCUUGGACUUCUAGAGGGAGCAUCUUACACCCUCCUCACGUGACUGCAGUAGUUCUAUAGGUUCCAUCUUCUCAAAGGGUACAGGGCUCAAUAAGUAAUCUUCCAGAGAGUUUUCUUAAGUCGUGGUUUAUAUUGUAUGUUCCUAUGUUGGCUUAUAUUGUAUGUACUUACAUACAGUAUAAGUACGUACAGUAUAAGCCAGCAUAGGUACAUGCAAUGUAAGUGCAUUGCCUUAUAUUGUCUGUACUUACACUGCAUGUAAGCAUGUCGCCUUAUAUUGUGUGUACUUACACUCUGUGUACACUUGCACUGUAUGCGUCAGCUUACAUUGUGUGUAGACUGUACCACUUAUGAUCGGAGCUGCCCUGCCCUGGCACAUAGUCACAGUUAGGUAGAACAGUUAUAACAACUUUACUGUUCAUCUGUCUUUUGUGGGAUUUUGGGUAGAAAAUUCAUCAGUCCAGAGUGGGGACAAGUCCUAGCUGUCAGAUAGCCACUUGUUGACCCUUCCUGUUGUCUCACAGGUCGCCGAGGCUGCUGAUUUCCCCAGGAUCUGCCAUUUAGCUCAAGGAGCGGCAGCCAGAAGAUGUGUCAAAGCACCUUCUUCAGCAUCUCAGGGAAGGGCCACAGUGAGCGUGUUUUGCAACUCAUUGUUAAAUUGAGAAUAAAAAAUCCCCAGCUGCCUUCCA